GGGCGCUUGGUGAAGUGGUAUCACGAUUGUCUCCAAAACAAUCAUCGGGGGUUCGAUUCCCUCAGCGCCCG
rnacentral:tRNA from 1 species